AAUUGGUCAACUUUCAUAUAUAUGA
rnacentral:snRNA from 1 species